rnacentral:rRNA from 1 species
UACGGAGGGUGCAAGCGUUGUCCGGAAUCACUGGGCGUAAAGGGCGCGUAGGCGGCUCAUGAAGGCUGUGGUGAAAGUCCGGGGCUCAACCUCGGAUCGGCCGUGGCGACUCGUGGACUGGAGCACUGUAGAGGCGGGUGGAAUUCCGGGUGUAGCGGUGGAAUGCGUAGAGAUCCGGAAGAACACCAGUGGCGAAGGCGGCCCGCUGGGCAGUGGCUGACGCUGAGGCGCGACAGCGUGGGGGAGCAAACAGG